CCCUUAGAUGUUCUGGGCCGCACGCGCGCUACACUGAUGCAUUCAACGAGCCUAGCCUUGACCGAGAGGUCCGGGUAAUCUUUGAAACUGCAUCGUGAUGGGGCUAGAUUAUUGCAAUUAUUAAUCUUCAACGAGGAAUGCCUAGUAAGCGUGAUUCAUCAAAUCGCGUUGAUUACGUCCCUGCCCUUUGUACACACCGCCCGUCGCUCCUACCGAUUGAGUGUGUUGGUGAGGAGUUUGGAUUGGCCUCGGAAGGUGGUUCGCCACCGUCCGUAGCUGAGAAGUUCUCCAAACCGCCCCACUUAGAAGAAGGAGAAGUCGUAACA
rnacentral:rRNA from 1 species